ACACGAAACGGACUGAGUUCGAA
rnacentral:miRNA from 1 species